AUGAUACUCCCUCCGUCCGAAAAUAUUUGUCAUGAGAAUGGAUGUAUCUAGAUAUAUUUUCGUUCUAGAUACAUUCAUUUUUAUACAUUUGUGCGACAAGUCAUUCCAGACGGAGGGAGUAUGUG
rfam:Hordeum vulgare subsp. vulgare, WGS project CAJW01000000 data, contig: morex_contig_56179